rnacentral:lncRNA from 1 species
AUGGGUCGGAGGCUAACGCUUGUCCCUGGAGCAAUGACUUGGCUGUCCGCCGGAGUUUCUGACGUGCUGGAGGUCUCCGAUGAGGAGGGGGACCAGGAAGGACGGCGGCAGUCCUCAUCACCAGGAUCAAUCCAGGUAGGUAUGAAAGGUAAGGUCGCUCGCAGUUUUUCGGCUCCUUCGAAAGGUUUUAGGGAGGAGUUUAGCGGUGCUGCCAAGCCAAAAACCUUUGGUUCAAGAUUUUGGGCCUUGGGAGAUGUUUCUGAUGCGACUGACAGUGAGUCGAAGGGAGAGAAGGAUGCAGCAACUUCCGUUGAAGAGGCGUUUCCUGAGGCGCGCUUUGUACGAAGAGCGCUGGCGGAAGGUUUCACGGUAGAUGAGGUGCUUAAAGCCAGCGAACACCUGCUGCUCAAUCCUGCAGCCACUUCAGGGAUUAACAGGGAGGGAGGAGGGAGAGGUUGGAUGAGUCAGGGCUUCAGGCCAAGAGGGGCUAGAAGUUUUGGGACCAUAAGAGGAGGCUUUGCUGGAAGGCCAGGUCGCAGCGGAGCACAUCAUGCCGGGCGGUCGAAUCUGCCCAGUUAUGGCCAAAGGGCAAUGGACAGCGGUACUGGCAGGGCUGAGAAAACAACAACGGGAUCAGGGAGCAACAAGGGAGGCACACUUGUGAGCCGAUGGGAUAAAUCAGCUGAAGGUUCAAGGAAGGUUUUGGGAGGAAAGAAGGAAGCAUGGCAAAACAAGGCUGGGGAUUUAGGAGCAUCGGUGACUGGAAAGGAAGGAAGAGGGAAAAAUGUGGUAGGAGAAGUUGUCAGCGAGGGUGAUGCAAAGGAUCAGGAGUUCGAUCGACCGUUGUUCGAGGACAGAAACAACAAAGGUGAAGGCGUAAAAGGGGCAGCGAAGAAGAUUAUUCCUAGGAAUAUUGAUGUUGUGAUUGCUGAUCAUUAUUUUGAGCUAAGAUUUGAGGUGGAAAAGAAAGGGUUUGAUGAUAAUGGAGAUGAAGUGGAAUUCCAUUUCGAAAAGGAGGAUGGGGAUGGGGAUGACGGUGGUUUGGACAACAUGGAAGAUGGGAAGGAAAAUGGGAAUGAAAAAGAGGGAGACCAUAUGAGAGAUAUGAAUAGUGGCAUGAUCUUAGAUGGGCAAGAUGGAGGCUCAAAGGAGAAUGGUGACAAAAUGACAGAACAAGAAGCUAGAGUCGAGGAAGAGGAGGAAGAGCUGAAGAAAAUGGCAGAUCAAAUUAUUGAUGUAGUUGUGGAAGAUAUGCUUGGAGAAAUUUAUGAUCGGGUGGCAAGAGAGGGAGAGGAGCAGGAUUUGGGCAAUAGACAGGGGCAAGAGAUGGGUGAUGGGCUGCAGGAGAAGGUGGUGUUGAUGGCAAACGUUGAGGAGGUUAUUGUGAUGCCGGUUCGUUCUAGUAAGAGACUCGCGAAUGGUGAAGGGAUACAGUUGCUAGAAAAGGCUGAAAAAAGGAAGGCCCGAAAGAACCUUGACUUCUGCUCA